rnacentral:rRNA from 1 species
GGUGGGCGCUAGGUGUGAGCCUCUUCCACGAGGUUUGUGCCGUAGCUAACGCAUUAAGCGCCCCGCCUGGGGAGUACGGCCGCAAGGCUAAAACUCAAAGGAAUUGACGGGGGCCCGCACAAGCGGCGGAGCAUGUGGAUUAAUUCGAUGCAACGCGAAGAACCUUACCUGGGCUUGACAUAUUUAGGAUCGCUGCAGAGAUGUAGUUUCCCUUGUGGCCUUUAUACAGGUGGUGCAUGGCUGUCGUCAG